UUUUAAGUAUGAAAUUAAAUGAGUUUUUGCAUGAAAAGUCAUAGGAGGAAAACCCAGGUUCGGCCGCCGAAAAUCAAGUUCGGCCGCCGAACAUGCAUGCGUUUUGGAGGCACGUUAGGCCCCCGAAAGCAUGAGUUAGGGAAGUCCAGGUUCGGCCGCCGAAAGUCAAGUUCGGCCGCCGAACAUUGCAUGGAUGCGGA
rnacentral:lncRNA from 1 species